CUGCCGGUGGGUGCGUGCGGGUGUCUCGGUGAGCGUGCGGGUGCGCGAGAGUGUGCGCCCUGCGUGCGCUACAUGCCCCUGAGCAGCGCGGGAGGAGAGUCCUAGAGAUUGUGCCGCCCGGAAACCUCCCGACCUGCAAGCGAGAAAAUUGGGAGGCCCGCGGAGGGCGCGAGAGUGCGGACGGACCUGGGCGCCCGACUCAACCGCCGUGGGCUGCUGCGCUUGGCCGCUGCCGCGUCCUGGCUCCUUGGUUCCACGCUCUGGCAGCUUCCCGGCUGGACACGUGGGUUUUACGACAGCACAAAAUAGAUUUUCUGAACCUGGGAAACGUGCUGUUCAGACUUCAUCCGGGUCUCAUUCAGGAUGCUUCGAUGUUGGUUGGAAGAGAGUUAGACCGAAAAUGUUUUGACUGGCGUCGUUAUGACAAGGUCAUCCGUCAUUGUUGGAUAGAUUGAUAGCACCCAAGUUUAAGGCAGACACCACGAGGGAAAGCCCACGGCGCUGUGGUCCCGGAGGCUAACCAGGCAGUGUCCGCAGACCUCCAGCAACUCCAUCGGGAGGAGAGGAUGAAGUUCCAGGCCCGUUUCAAUUAAUCUGCUCGCAGAACUGCCGAAGAGUGGCUUGUCGGGCCACGGGAGAAGAAACAAAUGCUCUUUCUCACACUCUCCUGGUUCAUUGCUGAGAAACCAGGACACUCCUCUGUUCCCUGGGAGAGACAGUGAACUCCAGGGAUGGAAGUCCGGACUCCGGCGGCGGUCCCGUCAUUUGCCUUCUUGUUUCUGCCCAAACCCAGCUAGUUCCAAGCGCUUGGUCCCCAAGACUGGAAGUCCCCAAGAACCUACCUCUACCUGUCCCAACCCUGCCUCCCCCCUACCCUUUCACCCCCUGCCACCAUUAGAAAGUCUCUGGAUUUUGAAAUGCUAGUUGCAGCAGCUGCUUCCGUGGCCUCAUGCCGCCCACACUCUGGGAAGCGGAGGAGGGAGGGUUCCUCUCGUAAUAAGAUUAGCUGACCUGUUAAUGAGAGUUUUGGACGUGCCGGGCGGGGGUAGGCGCUUUAUGUCCAUUUAAUCCACCUACAUGCGGAGAAGGCAUUAUCAUUAACCCCCAUAUUGUAGAUGGGGACCGCUGAGGUUCGGAAAGUUUAGAUGGGUUGCCUAAGGUCACGCCAUUAAUGAGUAAUGGAGACGGAUUCAAAUACCGUUCGGUAAGGUGCCAAGUGCAUCUUCUGCCUACCCUAGUCCAACCUGUAGCCACUCGGUCCAGACUGACGCCAGAGGGGCUAUCAUGGGAGAGAUUUGGUUCCCCUCGCUGCGGGGUCCAGGGAAGAAGCUGAGAAGGUAGCAAAGUCCCCCUCGCCCACUACGUCUACAGGUGGCGUACCUGGGUAAUCCGAUUCAAGCUUCCGCCACACCCACCCCGGGCACAAGUCGAUCCCGAGGCUUACGGGACCCUAAGGCCCAGAGGCUACAGGAACCUCCCGUGAAGGGGGCAGGAGAAAGUUUGAGGGAGAGCCCUGAAGGUCCGGGAGCGAACGAAAAAGUCUGGAAGGGAAUAGACCAGGAGUCAGGACCUCCCCUGCACCUCCCCAGCAGGCCCACUGCGCCGAGCGGGGCCCCUGCCUCCACCGCGGCUUCCGGGAUGCCCGCAGAGCUCGGCAUCCUCACCCGGUGCGCACAAGGGCGCGCAGCGGCGUAAGCUGGACCCCCGACGCUGCGCGCGCUCUGAGGGGCGCUUCCCCCUCACACAGUUGACCCUGGGCCCGCUUGGUCACGGCCACCCUGGCGCAUCUCAAUAGUUUUUAGAAAGUGAGCCCACCGACGGCAAGGACAUGCACCCCCUCAAAUCCGCUUCCCCCACCCCCUUCAAUACUGAGAAGACCACGGAAACAAAUCACUUCGACCACUUAGAAAGCGAUCAAACCUUUAUAAAAAUCCAUCGCUCCCAAAUCGAUGGGUGAAUAUUUGCUGGGAAUUUGUUCCAGAGGAAUAAAUGAGGAGCCUUGAGUGUAUUAAAUGCAAACGGGGGGACACGGUGGUGUUUUUCUUCAUUGAUUAAUGACCUCUAAAAUAAAACAAGUGGGAAGAGGAGCCAGGAUCGAUAAAUUACCCAAAUUCAUCAUUUUCUCGAGCAUUUUCGCCCCGAAAAUUAUCCUUGGGAAGCCCAUUGUACCCUGAGCUGGGAGGGGAAGGAUGUAGCUGGAGGCCAGGGUAGGGAGGGAGCAGCAGAAGGGGUAGGAGGAGAGAAGGGGGUUCUGUCCAGGAGACCCUCUAUCUGAUUCCGUUUAACAUACAAUUCAAAAGUUUGCCUUUCAUAUUAUUUUUUCUUGAUGGGGGAGUGGAACAAAUGGUCGGUUGCCUUUGACAGGACUCCAAUAAAGGAUUCAGCAGCUCUCCGCUCUGCCCUGGGUGCUCCUGCUUCUAGUAGGUUUAAGGUCACGGGUGGCUGAGUUAAUAAUUCAUUAAUAUAGACAUUUAUUCAGAAGGGUUCGCUGAGAUCCACUCUUCCUGCCUCCUCCCAGAGAUUUGUUUUCCUAGGAAAUGGAUGGGGGUGGGGGGUGGGCUGCAGGUGAAAGGAGGGGGGCGGGAGGAGAAGGAAAGGCUGGAUGUAGCUAGGAGGAAUCUUUGCUGAGCCGUAUUAGCAGACAGGUCCCUUGAGCCUGCCAGCAAAAACU
rnacentral:lncRNA from 1 species